AUAGAAAACCUUUUGGCUAUGAUCAGAUGCAGUAUCUUUUCCUAUCAGUUUAAUAUCUGAUACAUCCUCUAUCUGAGGACAAUAUAUUAAAUGGAUUUUUGGAGCAGGGAGUUUGAAUAGGAGCUUGUUCCAUCUACUCCACGCAUUGGAAAAAAAAAAAAAGAAAGAAAGAAAAUCCACCCGUGUGCUUCUUAU